rnacentral:rRNA from 1 species
CAGCAGCCACGGGAAUACGAAGGGUGCAAGCGUUAAUCGGAAUUACUGGGCGUAAAGCGUGCGUAGGCGGUGAGUUAAGUCUGCUGUGAAAUCCCCGGGCUCAACCUGGGAAUGGCAGUGGAUACUGGCUCGCUAGAGUGUGUCAGAGGAUGGUGGAAUUCCCGGUGUAGCGGUGAAAUGCGUAGAGAUCGGGAGGAACAUCAGUGGCGAAGGCGGCCAUCUGGGACAACACUGACGCUGAGGCACGAAAGCGUGGGGAGCAAACAGGAUUAGAUACCCGCGUAGUCCCUGUCUCUUAUAC